AUGGUCGAUGCGUUCUUCGAUGGCCAGACUAUCCACGUCAAGCAGCGGCGCAAGAAGGGCUUUCCACUUACUCCUAUGCGGAAUGUUCAGCGCGUUUAUGCUGCAUGGAAGCAUUGGAAGCGAGAAAUUCUUCAUAGCCGACAUGCCGAGGCGCCCCUGCUCCUUGCCCCUCCGCCUCGGCGUCAACUGCAGGAUGACGAUUACGCGAUGGCUGCCUCUUCUUCUCUCUACGUCGACUGCCCUGUCGCCCACGCUGCGUCGCGUGCUUCUGCCUUUGGGGGGCCUCCUGCUGCGUCACUGGACAUGAGCAUGGUCAUGCAGACUAAGUGCAAGCCAGGAAGAUCGAGACUGGGUCUUGAUUCAGGAGAAAGGGGCUUUGUUGAUCAAUUGUGGGUCAUCAGUGUUUAUUUUAAUUGGCGUGCUCAAGUUCCCUGCCAGUUGAGCGUUAAUACCAAGGACGGGAAAUGCUUCAGGUCCAAGUCGCAAUGUCCGCAGGAAAUUUGA
rnacentral:rRNA from 1 species